UUAGAGGCCAUGCUGAAGCGACUGCAGGAUGACCUCCAAAAGUCCUUGCCCUCUUCGCUACUUCAAAGAGCCACUGCUACUUCACAGAGCCAAUCACACAGAGGGACUGUAGAGGUAGGGCGGGACAAGCAAAAGAAACCUGUCUUGUCAUUGAGCAGGGUGAACAGAGGAGAUGAGAAGAUUGCUGGAGGGACAAUGGGCAGCCAUGCUCACUCUCAACACUAACCCACCAAUGGCAGUUAAGGUGCAUUGCUAAUGUGACGAGAAGAAGAGCAAAAUGACUGGACUCUUGCCUGCACACACUCACGAAACAUGCCGGACUUGAACGAAAUGCACAGCACCACCGCAAAGGGAAACGAAAUGUUAAAUAACCAUCCUUCAGCAUUACUGUACAUCAUACAUGUCAUCUCCCCUUCAAAUGCUUUUAUUUUAGAGUCACUGUGAUAACCUGGUACCAGCAGAUUCUGAUGUAUUACAAUGAAAUCUAUAUAUCUUUAUUCCUCUCUGUGAAGAAGUGUAGAGCCAAAAUA
rnacentral:lncRNA from 1 species